GAGGGGCCCGCGGCCGAUUACAGUGGUUGGUAGGGUAAUGGCCUACCAAGCCUGGGAUCGGUAGCCGGCCUGAGAGGGCACACGGCCACACUGGCACUGAAACACGGGCCAGACUCCUACGGGAGGCAGCAGUGGGGAAUCUUGCACAAUGGGGGCAACCCUGAUGCAGCGACGCCGCGUGAGCGAUGAAGCCCUUCGGGGUGUAAAGCUCUUUUGUCGGGGACAAUCAUGAUGGUACCCGGCGAAUAAGCUGCGGCUAACUGCGUGCCAGCAGCCGCGGUAAUACGUAGGCAGCAAGCGUUGUUCGGAAUUACUGGGCGUAAAGCGUGUGUAGGUGGUUGGGUAAGUCUGGUGUGAAAUCUCCCGGCUCAACUGGGAGGGUGCGCCGGAAACUGCCUGGCUAGAGUGCGGAAGAGGAGAGUGGAAUUCCCGGUGUAGCGGUGAAAUGCGUAGAUAUCGGGAGG
rnacentral:rRNA from 1 species